AUAAGCAAUGUACAAAAUGUUUGAAAUAUUUUACAUUAUCUUAUCUUUAUAAGAAAUGCAAUUAUUUUCAUAUUUUAAACAUAAACAAACAGCAUAAAAAUACGUGUGAUAACAAUUGAAUACAUUUAGGAAGUUUUGAAGAAAAUGGGCAAGCAACAAUUAGACUUGUUGUUAAUACUGAUGGAGUUCCUGUUUUUAAAUUAUCAAAGUGGACCUUGUGGCCUUUGCUAACAUCCAUUCAUAAUUUUCCAUAUUCAUUGCAAAUUACUAAUAUUUUGUUUUUUGGUUUCUGGUCCAGUAAUUGCACCAAACGUGCAAUUAUUUUUAUCUUGUUUUGUUGAUUUUUUUACUAACCUAUCCACUACUGGUAUACUCUUAUCUAAUAAUGUUUGUGUUUUUUUUUCAUGUAUCUAUUUUUUUGUGUGAUACAAUUGCAAGAGCUAUGGUUUUUUGUCGUAGGUAGUUUAAUGAUUUUAAUGGUAGCCAUUGGUGUUCCUCUCAAGGGGUAAGAGUUAAAAAAGGUAGGAGGUCUUGUAUGACUUAUCCAUUUUCUGAUGUUAAUGGGAGUUGUAGAAACCAUACAGAUUUUUUUUGUAUUAAUGUGAUAAUGAGCUAAAGGGUUUUUAGAUUUUUUUUAUUUUAUUUGUAAGAGUACCUAAUUUUAGUUGUGUAAAUGGAACAGUUGUUGAUAAUCUGCACUGUAUUGAGCUUGGUGUUAUGAAAGCUAUGUUUUCUUUCUGAUUUGAUAGUUGUUAUUCUGGUUAUAUUUUUUCUAUUAGAAGACACUGUACUGUUGUAAAUAAUCUUUUAUCUGCAAUCAGUGUGCCAAGCAAUAUAAGACGGACUCGAUGAUCAUUAAGUUGGAAAGCUUUAAAGACCCAAACGGAAAAAAAUGCAUGAAUACUUUUAAAGUCAAUUUUCGCAAUUCUGUUUGUUUUGUUAUGCUAAUUUAUCAGUAGAGAACCAACAGACCACUGA